AGAUUAAAAUUUAUACUACCUGUCAUUAUGAUUUAUACUAAGCAAGAAUAACGUUAAAAUAUGUUUGUUAGCAUUCUGUCUUUUGCAGAUUUUGAUAAUUUCUUCAUACGCGUGGUGAUUUCGAUCAAUUUAAUACUUUUUUCAAUAAACCGACUAAAGACGACUAAAAAAUCCGCUAUUCGUUUAUAUGCAUAUAAGUUAAAUUGUUGUGCAAUGUGGAAAAGCACGCCUUUCCGGAUGAAACUCACAGCGCUCGGCAUUGAUCUUUGCCAUCUUGGUUGCCUGGUUGCCCCUGUCAACCGGAAUGUAGAAAAACUUCUUCCGUCGAACCAAACCGAACCAAUUCCGAAACUCGCACAAUGCCUCUACCUUGGCCACCCAGCCACACUGUUUAUCAAACGCGUCAGAAGCGAGUACCAAAUCAAGUCUCGCUGCCCCCUCCGGCGGUCUCAAGUAAUGAAGAUUCGGGUUGACGCAAUUUAUCUCAGGACUACGUACUACAAAUGAUUCUAUCUCUACGGCAAAGUCUGCUUCAAACCGACCAACGCCGGUCUCCAUUUCAGUGAUUUUGCUUCACGGCGACGUUUCUUUGAAUGUGUCGGAUGUGCGAGAGCUGUUUCCCAGUCAAGAAUUACAUCCCGCUUUGGAAUUUCAUCGCUACAAACAUCGCUGCCGAUUCGGCGUCGAGACACUUCUCAUGGUUAUGCUACGUUUUGACAGGGCAAGUGAAUUGAAAAACUCAGUUGAAUUCAAUUGACUUGCCAAAAGUUGAACAUGUUCAACUUUCUUUUUAUUCAAGUGAAUUGAAUUAAGGUGUUUACACGUUCAGUUCGCGUUCGAUUCAAGCGACUUGCUCAAUUCACUUGCCUUGUCUAAACGUAGCAUUACCCUCAGCAGUGAAGACGAAUUCAUAAGGAUCUGCGAAACGAAAUACGGUUCCUAGGAAGUGCCGAGGAAUGUGUAGUGCAUGAUGGUGAUGUGACCAGGACGAUUCGAACCACAAAAAAUAACUAUCGCAUGUUA